UACAGAGGUCUCAAGCGUUGUUCGGAUUCAUUGGGCGUAAAGGGUGCGUAGGUGGCGCGUAAGUCGGGGUGUGAAAAUUCGAGGCUUAACUCCGAAACUGCAUUCGAUACUGCGGUGCUUGAGGACUGGAGAGGAGACUGGAAUUUACGGUGUAGCGGUGAAAUGCGUAGAUAUCGUAAGGAAGACCAGUGGCGAAGGCGGGUCUCUGGACAGUUC
rnacentral:rRNA from 1 species